AGGUGAUGAAUUUGAGGUCAGUCAUUGCCAACCAAUCCUACCUUUUAAUUUACUCAAGUUGCUAUGGGCAUGUGUACAUGUGCAUUUAAGCUGGCUUAAAUUUGCUGCACAGUAAGUUACUGCAUAAUAAGCAGGAAUAGGCCAGCAUCUACAAAUACAGGCAUUAAAGUGCAUUAAUGCCUGUGCAUUAGUCCCAAGUCAGUCCACACAAACAGUGUUACUGUGCAGUAAGGUUUCUACAUGUGUGUUACUGCACAGUCUAAUCGGGCAUAAAUUUGAUACCUGCGUAAUGCAGGUAUCAAAUUUACACUCGCAUUGACAUAAGUCACAUAUUUGCUGCACAGUAUAGGCAUGCAUAUGUAGACAUGUGCCUGUACUGCGCAGUUAUUUUGGUUAAUGAGCAGUAAAUGCACACGUGUAUACACACCCAAUGUAUUGUAAAGUAACAUUUCCUUUUGCUUUGCAGUUGCCAAAACAAGGCUUGUUUGGGAAGUCCAUUAUCCAGAAUCAUCAGCACGUGGCCAAGCUUAGGCAUCCGGACUGAAAACUGUUUCACUUCCCUUGGAUGGACUUGCUGCUGUUCCAUGACUCUGAUUCUGAGAGGAACAAGCUUAAAACUUAAGGAACAAGUUAGGCAGCUCCACCAUGUCAGUCUUUUACUGUACAAAAUUCAGCAAAGAAGAGAAGAUGGUGGUAGUUGUGUCCCCAACACUUUGUCCACUAGCCCUGAGGGUGCUUACCUGGAAAACUAAAUCCCUCUUCUGCUUGAUUUGGAGCAGGGAUUUUAACCUGAAUUUCUUACAACCCUGGGGAACGCUGUAGUCACCAGCCUACUGGACGAAAGGAGUAUACCACCUCAACAUUGUCCUUUGUACAAGAAAAACAAAGAAUAUCCACAAUAUAAACUACUCCUAUAACUGCACAGCAAAAUUCUGUUGAUUAAGAAAAAAAUAGAUAAAAUGGGCAAGAAUUCAUGUUUGGCAUGAGAAGAAAAAGUGAUAUACAGCUUACAACAUAAACAAGGAAAGGAAAUGCCAGAGCUACUUUUUGUCAAGCCCAAAUGAAAGGAGCAAUGAUCCAUCAAUUUAAGAUAAUUUCAGAAAGAAUCUAUAAUCCAGUGCUGCAGAUGUUGAAACUGUGUCCAAAAAAAGGGCUUACCUACAGGGAGCAGGCAGCAGGACAGGGGCGUAGCUGGGCAGAAAGAGCUGAGUCUGCCCAUAUACGCUUAUCUCCUCACACCUGAAGCCCGAGCCUGCUUUGAUCUGCUUAUCUCCUCACAUUUCCUGUGGCACCCUUCAAAGGAUCUCACAUCACCCCAAGGUGAAACUUUGACCAUUACUGCUGAAGUCACAAAAAAAUGUCAGCGAUGUCAGUAGUGCCAGGAAGAGUUGGAAUUUUCAAAUGGAGGCGCUCAACUUUAGGCAGCUUGUUCCAGUGACUCUUGAAUACUCUUAGGACAAACUUAGCUUUAUCCUGCCAAUAAUGCAUAACUUUUGUCCAGUAUCAUGAACAGAUGUUUCUCUUCUAUAUGAUUGCAUCCACUGACCUCUGCUAACCUGCUAUUGGAGUUUUCUGCAAUGUCAAUUGAAAUGACAUUAUUAAAUAGGAUUAAGUUGGGCUGUGACUGGGCAGGAGUCUAUUUGUGUGUAUGGAAGAAGACCCUACACAACUUUUACCUCUUAGAUGUGACUUCAAAGUUCGUAGAGAGAGUGCCAUUAAUGCAAGCAUAAUUUGAAUCCAGUCUACAGAAGAAAACAAUGUAUUCAGUCAAUAGGAGUGAAGUAUGGAUAAUAGGAACACACCAGUGCAGUAUGUAUGUAUGUAUCUAGUAUGUAUCUAUCACAUAAAACCAGGUAACAGACUGUAUAAUGGACAUCAACAUGAUAUGGACCAUUAUAACAUAUAAAAAUAAAGGAUCAGAUUCUGCA